CACGUAGGUGGCGUGGUAAGUCAAAGGUGAAAGCCCUCGGCUCAACUGAGGAACUGUCUUUGAAACUGCUCUGCUUGAGUCCGGGAGGGGGGAGCGGAAUUCCCAGUGUAGCGGUGAAAUGCGUAGAUACUGGGAGGAACACCGGUGGCGAAGGCGGCUCCCUGGACCGGUACUGACACUGAGGUGCGAAAGCGUGGGUAGCAAACA
rnacentral:rRNA from 1 species